GGCGAGCGAACGCGGAUUAGCCCAAACCAAUAAAGUUUUCUUUAUUGGGGUUGCGGACAUAUCAUAACGAAGAGGUAUCGUAAUUGAAGAGGUUUGGAAAGACCCACCACAGAAGGUAAUAGUCCUGGAUGUUAAACGAGAAGACUUUAGAUAUGAUCCAGAGUACCACGGGACACGUGAAACCCUGUGGGAAGCAGGAGGGACCACCCUCCAAGGCUAAAUACUACCUAGUGACCGAUAGCGUAUAGUACCGUGAGGGAAAGGUGAAAAGAACCCCG
rnacentral:rRNA from 1 species